ACGUAGGGGGCAAGCGUUAUCCGGAAUUACUGGGUGUAAAGGGAGCGUAGGCGGCAUGGUAAGCCAGAUGUGAAAGCCCGGAGCUUAACUCCGAGGAUUGCAUUUGGAACUAUCAAGCUAGAGUACAGGAGAGGAAAGCGGAAUUCCUAGUGUAGCGGUGAAAUGCGUAGAUAUUAGGAAGAACACCAGUGGCGAAGGCGGCUUUCUGGACUGAAACUGACGCUGAGGCUCGAAAGCGUGGGGAGCGAACAG
rnacentral:rRNA from 1 species